rnacentral:rRNA from 1 species
GACAGCCUACGGGGCGCAGCAGUGGGGAAUAUUGCACAAUGGGGGAAACCCUGAUGCAGCGACGCCGCGUGAGUGAAGAAGUAUUUCGGUAUAUAAAGCUCUAUCAGCAGGGAAGAAAAAAGGCGGUACCUGACUAAGAAGCUCCGGCUAACUACGUGCCAGCAGCCGCGGUAAUACGUAGGGGGCAAGCGUUAUCCGGAUUUAUUGGGUUUAAAGGGUGCGUAGGCGGACGCUUAAGUCAGCGGUAAAAUUGCGGGGCUCAACCUCGUCGAGCCGUUGAAACUGGGUGCCUUGAGUGGGCGAGA